rnacentral:rRNA from 1 species
GACGAACGCUGGCGGCGUGCCUAAUACAUGCAAGUCGAACGAAGCUGUUUUAACUGGUGCUUGCACCGACUUAAACAACUGAGUGGCGAACGGGUGAGUAACACGUGGGUAACCUGCCCCAAAGCGGGGGAUAACAUUUGGAAACAGAUGCUAAUACCGCAUAACCACAGAAACCACAUGGUUUCUGUGUCAAAGAUGGUUUCGGCUAUCACUUUGGGAUGGACCCGCGGCGUAUUAGCUAGUUGGUAAGGUAAUGGCUUACCAAGGCAAUGAGACGUAGCCGAACUGAGAGGUUGAUCGGCCACAUUGGGACUGAGACACGGCCCAAACUCCUACGGGAGGCAGCAGUAGGGAAUCUUCCACAAUGGACGAAAGUCUGAUGGAGCAACGCCGCGUGAGUGAAGAAGGGUUUCGGAUCGUAAAACUCUGUUGUCAGAGAAGAACGCGUGCGAGAGUAACUGUUCGUGCAGUGACGGUAUCUGGCCAGAAAGCCACGGCUAACUACGUGCCAGCCGCCGCGGUAA